CCUACGGGAGACAGCAGUGAGGAAUCUUGGACAAUGGGCGUAAGCCUGAACCAGCAAAGUCGCGUGAGGGAUGAAGGUUCUAUGGUUCGUAAACCUCUUUUAUAAGGGAAUAAAGUGCGGGUCGUGUCCCGUCUUGUAUGUACCUUAUGAAUAAGGAUAGGCUAACUCCGUGCCAGCAGCCGCGGUAAUACGGAGGAUCCGAGCGUUAUCCGGAUUUAUUGGGUUUAAAGGGUGCGUAGGCGGCCUUUUAAGUCAGCGGUGAAAGUCUUGGGCUCAACCCUAGAAUUGCCUUUGAAACUGGGGGGCUUGAGUAUGUUAGAGGCAGGUGGAAUGCGAGGUGUAGCGGUGAAAUGCUUAGAUAUCACGCAGAACCCCGAUUGCGAAGGCAGCCUGCCAGGCCAUGACUGACGCUGAUGCACGAAAGCGUGGGGAUCAAACAGGAUUAGAUACCCUAGUAGUC
rnacentral:rRNA from 1 species